UAAGUUAUGCCACAUUCCUAAUA
rnacentral:siRNA from 1 species